rnacentral:rRNA from 1 species
AUUGAACGCUGGCGGCAUGCCUUACACAUGCAAGUCGAACGGCAGCACGGGAGCAAUCCUGGUGGCGAGUGGCGAACGGGUGAGUGAAGUAUCGGAACGUGCCCAGUCGUGGGGGAUAACGUAGCGAAAGUUACGCUAAUACCGCAUACGAUCUAUGGAUGAAAGCGGGGGAUCGCAAGACCUCGCGCGAUUGGAGCGGCCGAUAUCAGAUUAGGUAGUUGGUGGGGUAAAGGCUCAGCAAGCCGACGAUCUGUAGCUGGUCUGAGAGGACGACCAGCCACACUGGGACUGAGACACGGCCCAGACUCCUACGGGAGGCAGCAGUGGGGAAUUUUGGACAAUGGGCGAAAGCCUGAUCCAGCCAUGUCGCGUGCAGGAUGAAGGCCUUCGGGUUGUAAACUGCUUUUGUACGGAACGAAAAGGUUUGGGCUAAUAAGCUGAGCUCAUGACGGUACCGUAAGAAUAAGCACCGGCUAACUACGUGCCAGCAGCCGCGGUAAAAC